rnacentral:rRNA from 1 species
CGCUGGCGGCAGGCUUAACACAUGCAAGUCGAGCGGUAACAGGAGAAGCUUGCUUCUCGCUGACGAGCGGCGGACGGGUGAGUAAUACUUAGGAAUCUGCCCAGUAGUGGGGGAUAGCUCGGGGAAACUCGAAUUAAUACCGCAUACACCCUACGGGGAAAAGGGGGCGCUUGCGCUCUCGCUAUUGGAUGAGCCUAAGUCGGAUUAGCUAGUUGGUGGGGUAAAGGCCUACCAAGGCGACGAUCUGUAGCUGGUCUGAGAGGAUGAUCAGCCACACCGGGACUGAGACACGGCCCGGACUCCUACGGGAGGCAGCAGUGGGGAAUAUUGGACAAUGGGGGCAACCCUGAUCCAGCCAUGCCGCGUGUGUGAAGAAGGCCUUUUGGUUGUAAAGCACUUUAAGCAGUGAAGAAGACCUAACGGUUAAUACCCGUUAGCGAUGACAUUAGCUGCAGAAUAAGCACCGGCUAACUCUGUGCCAGCAGCCGCGGUAAUACAGAGGGUGCAAGCGUUAAUCGGAAUUACUGGGCGUAAAGCGAGCGUAGGUGGCUUGAUAAGUCAGAUGUGAAAUCCCCGGGCUUAACCUGGGAACUGCAUCUGAUACUGUCAGGCUAGAGUAGGUGAGAGGGAGGUAGAAUUUCAGGUGUAGCGGUGAAAUGCGUAGAGAUCUGAAGGAAUACCGAUGGCGAAGGCAGCCUCCUGGCAUCAUACUGACACUGAGGUUCGAAAGCGUGGGUAGCAAACAGGAUUAGAUACCCUGGUAGUCCACGCCGUAAACGAUGUCUACUAGUCGUUGGGGAACUUGAUUCCUUAGUGACGCAGCUAACGCAAUAAGUAGACCGCCUGGGGAGUACGGCCGCAAGGUUAAAACUCAAAUGAAUUGACGGGGGCCCGCACAAGCGGUGGAGCAUGUGGUUUAAUUCGAUGCAACGCGAAGAACCUUACCUGGUCUUGACAUAUCUAGAAUCCUGCAGAGAUGCGGGAGUGCCUUCGGGAAUUAGAAUACAGGUGCUGCAUGGCUGUCGUCAGCUCGUGUCGUGAGAUGUUGGGUUAAGUCCCGCAACGAGCGCAACCCUUUUCCUUAGUUACCAGCGGUUUGGCCGGGGACUCUAAGGAUACUGCCAGUGACAAACUGGAGGAAGGCGGGGACGACGUCAAGUCAUCAUGGCCCUUACGACCAGGGCUACACACGUGCUACAAUGGUAGGUACAGAGGGCAGCUACACAGCGAUGUGAUGCGAAUCUCAAAAAGCCUAUCGUAGUCCAGAUUGGAGUCUGCAACUCGACUCCAUGAAGUAGGAAUCGCUAGUAAUCGCGGAUCAGAAUGCCGCGGUGAAUACGUUCCCGGGCCUUGUACACACCGCCCGUCACACCAUGGGAGUUGAUUGCACCAGAAGUGGGUAGCCUAACUUUUAGAGGGCGCUCACCCACGGUGUGG